rnacentral:rRNA from 1 species
GACGAACCGUGCGAACGUUAUUCGGAAUCACUGGGCUUAAAGCGCGUGUAGGCGGGAGGGCACGUCCGUCGCUGAAAUCCCCCGGCUCAACCGGGGAACGGGCGCGGAUACGACCUUCCUGGAGGGGCGUAGGGGGACCUGGAACUUCCGGUGGAGCGGUGAAAUGCGUUGAGAUCGGAAGGAACGCCCGUGGCGAAAGCGAGGUCCUGGACGCCUGCUGACGCUGAGACGCGAAAGCCAGGGGAGCGAACGGG